rnacentral:rRNA from 1 species
UACGUAGGGCGCAAGCGUUGUCCGGAAUUAUUGGGCGUAAAGAGCUCGUAGGCGGCCUGUCGCGUCUGCUGUGAAAUCCCGGGGCUUAACCCCGGGCGUGCAGUGGAUACGGGCUGGCUGGAGGCAGGCAGGGGAGAACGGAAUUCCCGGUGUAGCGGUGAAAUGCGCAGAUAUCGGGAGGAACACCGGUGGCGAAGGCGGUUCCCUGGGCCUGUACUGACGCUGAGGAGCGAAAGCGUGGGGAGCGAACAGG